rnacentral:rRNA from 1 species
UACAGAGGGUGCGAGCGUUAAUCGGAAUUACUGGGCGUAAAGCGUGCGCAGGCGGUUUUGUAAGUCUGUCGUGAAAUCCCCGGGCUCAACCUGGGAAUUGCGAUGGAGACUGCAAGGCUAGAAUCUGGCAGAGGGGGGUAGAAUUCACGUGUAGCAGUGAAAUGCGUAGAGAUGUGGAGGAACACCGAUGGCGAAGGCAGCCCCCUGGGUCAAGAUUGACGCUCAUGCACGAAAGGCGUGGGGAGCAAACAGG